rnacentral:rRNA from 1 species
CCUACGGGAGGCAGCAGUGGGGAAUAUUGCACAAUGGGGGAAACCCUGAUGCAGCAACGCCGCGUGAAGGAAGACGGUUUUCGGAUUGUAAACUUCUGUUCUUAGUGAAGAAUAAUGACGGUAGCUAAGGAGCAAGCCACGGCUAACUACGUGCCAGCAGCCGCGGUACUACGUAGGUGGCAAGCGUUGUCCGGAAUUACUGGGUGUAAAGGGAGCGCAGUCGGGAAGCCAAGUCAGCUGUGAAAACUACGGGCGUAACUUGUAGACUGCAGUUGCAACUGGGUUUCUUGAGUGAAGUAGCGGUU